UCGAGCGGAACGAGUUAUCUGAACCUUCGGGGAACGAUAACGGCGUCGAGCGGCGGACGGGUGAGUAAUGCCUAGGAAAUUGCCCUGAUGUGGGGGAUAACCAUUGGAAACGAUGGCUAAUACCGCAUGAUGCCUACGGGCCAAAGAGGGGGACCUUCGGGCCUCUCGCGUCAGGAUAUGCCUAGGUGGGAUUAGCUAGUUGGUGAGGUAAGGGCUCACCAAGGCGACGAUCCCUAGCUGGUCUGAGAGGAUGAUCAGCCACACUGGAACUGAGACACGGUCCAGACUCCUACGGGAGGCAGCAGUGGGGAAUAUUGCACAAUGGGCGCAAGCCUGAUGCAGCCAUGCCGCGUGUGUGAAGAAGGCCUUCGGGUUGUAAAGCACUUUCAGUCGUGAGGAAGGUAGUGUAGUUAAUAGCUGCAUUAUUUGACGUUAGCGACAGAAGAAGCACCGGCUAACUCCGUGCCAGCAGCCGCGGUAAUACGGAGGGUGCGAGCGUUAAUCGGAAUUACUGGGCGUAAAGCGCAUGCAGGUGGUUUGUUAAGUCAGAUGUGAAAGCCCGGGGCUCAACCUCGGAAUUGCAUUUGAAACUGGCAGACUAGAGUACUGUAGAGGGGGGUAGAAUUUCAGGUGUAGCGGUGAAAUGCGUAGAGAUCUGAAGGAAUACCGGUGGCGAAGGCGGCCCCCUGGACAGAUACUGACACUCAGAUGCGAAAGCGUGGGGAGCAAACAGGAUUAGAUACCCUGGUAGUCCACGCCGUAAACGAUGUCUACUUGGAGGUUGUGGCCUUGAGCCGUGGCUUUCGGAGCUAACGCGUUAAGUAGACCGCCUGGGGAGUACGGUCGCAAGAUUAAAACUCAAAUGAAUUGACGGGGGCCCGCACAAGCGGUGGAGCAUGUGGUUUAAUUCGAUGCAACGCGAAGAACCUUACCUACUCUUGACAUCCAGAGAACUUUCCAGAGAUGGAUUGGUGCCUUCGGGAACUCUGAGACAGGUGCUGCAUGGCUGUCGUCAGCUCGUGUUGUGAAAUGUUGGGUUAA
rnacentral:rRNA from 1 species